AAGUCGUAACAAGGUUUCCGUCGGUGAACCUGCGGAAGGAUCAUUAACACGUAUCCAACGUUAAACCCCCCGUGAACCUUCAUUGUGCUCCCCCAUUCCGUUAGGACGCGGCAAUCCCUGGUAAAUCAUCGCCGAACAGUUUUGAUUCAGGGACCGAAUGGCGCAGUAACGAUCGCUAGAGGCCGACACGGCCGGCGACCGGGUCACUGGGCUCACGCCCCCCUAUCACCUUUGCAUGAAAACGGGCCUGCGCUUAAUUGUGCGGCCACCAAACUCGAACAACUGUUAACAAUGGAUAUCUUGGUUCUC
rnacentral:misc_RNA from 1 species